CACGAGAUACCAGCUUAAUAGAACCUCCGCCUGAGAUAGAGUAGACGACAACAUGACGAAAAUAUCAACCGUAUUCUUCAUCACAGCACUGAAAAAAAAGUAUAUGUCCCCAAACUGCCAGUGCUGAUUUUCUUCAGCUGAAGCACAUAGCCACGCCCAAGAGGUUGGAUCCAAAUCUUGAUUUUUUGAGGACAAGAAAAUUGCAUCGCAUAUAAAGAAAUUGAUCAGAUAUAAUAAUGCAUCAUUAAAAGUUUCUCAUAAUGACUGCGCCUUAAAAUUUCCUGAAUUUGGAUCUUGUGUGAAUAAGAGUGAAAAUUAGACUGCCUUUUUAGUGAAGUACAAGUGCGAAAACCUGGA